UACGGAGGGGGCUAGCGUUGUUCGGAAUUACUGGGCGUAAAGGGCGCGUAGGCGGCGGGGCAAGUCAGGUGUGAAAGGCCCGGGCUCAACCCGGGGACGGCACUUGCGACUGCCGUGCUGGAAUCCGGGAGAGGAUGGCGGAAUUCCCAGUGUAGAGGUGAAAUUCGUAGAUAUUGGGAAGAACACCGGUGGCGAAGGCGGCCAUCUGGUCCGGGAUUGAUGCUGAGGCGCGAAAGCGUGGGGAGCAAACAGG
rnacentral:rRNA from 1 species